AUUGAACGCUGGCGGCAGGCUUAACACAUGCAAGUCGAGCGUGAUAGGGCUUCGGCCUGAGUAAAGCGGCGGACGGGUGAGUAACGCGUAGGAAUCUACCUGGUAGUGGGGGAUAACGUUCCGAAAGGAACGCUAAUACCGCAUACGUUCUGAGGAAGAAAGCAGGGGACCGCAAGGCCUUGCGCUAUCAGAUGAGCCUGCGUCCGAUUAGCUAGUUGGUGGGGUAAAGGCCUACCAAGGCGACGAUCGGUAACUGGUCUGAGAGGAUGAUCAGUCACACUGGAACUGAGACACGGUCCAGACUCCUACGGGAGGCAGCAGUGGGGAAUAUUGGACAAUGGGGGCAAUCCUGAUCCAGCCAUGCCGCGUGUGUGAAGAAGGCCUUCGGGUUGUAAAGCACUUUAAGCUGGGAGGAAGGCUCCAUGGCUAAUAUCCAUGGGGAUUGACGUUACCAGCAGAAUAAGCACCGGCAAACUUCGUGCCAGCCGCCGCCGUAAGAC
rnacentral:rRNA from 1 species